CGCCAGACUCCUACGGGAGGCAGCAGUGGGGAAUAUUGCACAAUGGGGGAAACCCUGAUGCAGCGACGCCGCGUGAGCGAUGAAGUAUUUCGGUAUGUAAAGCUCUCUCAGCAGGGAAGAAAAUGACGGUACCUGACUAAGAAGCCCCGGCUAACUACGUGCCAGCAGCCGCGGUAAUACGUAGGGGGCAAGCGUUAUCCGGAUUUACUGGGUGUAAAGGGAGCGUAGACGGCUGUGCAAGCCAGAUGUGAAAGAGCGGGGCGCAACCCCGGGACUGCAUUUGGAACUGCGUGGCUUGAGUGUGGGAGAGGGAGGCGGAAUUCCUGGUGUAGCGGUGAAAUGCGUAGAUAUUAGGAGGAACACCAGGGGCGAGGGCG
rnacentral:rRNA from 1 species